UUUCCGUAGGUGAACCUGCGGAAGGAUCAUUAAAGAAUUUGCCCCGUCCUCUCGAGGAUGGGUCCUCUUCUAAACCGUGUAUACAUACCUUUGUUGCUUUGGCGGGCCGCCGUCUCGGCGUUGGCUUCGGCUGACUGUGCCCGCCAGAGAACCCCAACUCUUCUGUUUAGUAUUGUCUGAGUACUAUAUAAUAGUUAAAACUUUCAACAACGGAUCUCUUGGUUCUGGCAUCGAUGAAGAACGCAAC
rnacentral:misc_RNA from 1 species